AUUUUGACUGUGCGAAGGUAGCAUAAUAAAUUGUCUUUUAAAUGGAGGCUUGAAUGAAAGGUUGGACAAAGUAUCAUCUGUUUCUUAAAUAUUUAUUGAAUUUGACUUUCAAGUGAAAAGGCUUGAAUAAAUUAAAAAGACGAUAAGACCCUAUAAAUCUUCACAAUAAACACACUCUAUGUUUUAAUUUAUAAGUAUAUAAGAUAUAAAGUUUGUAGUUGUUCCGCUGGGGCGGCGUAGAUAUAUAAAUAAACUGUCUAUAUAUUAAAUACAGUAAUUAUUGAUUAAUAAAAUUGAUCCUUAAAUAGAUUAAAAGAUUAAGAUACUUUAGGGAUAACAGCGUUAUUUUUUUUGAGAGUUCUUAUCGAAGAAAAAGUUUGCGACCUCGAUGUUGAAUUAAAGUUCUCUAUAAGCAACCAUUGAAGCAGG
rnacentral:rRNA from 1 species